CAUGACUGGUAGCUAGAAGUAAAGGAGAUGUGGAACUGGAAAGGGCAAAAGAAAUGGAAGGAAAGAGGUGAAAGAAAUAAAAUGAACAACGCUUCUGCGCCUGCUCUUCUGGAUAAUGGUAUAAGGUGUUGGUUUUCAUCUGAAGCAGGCCGAGGUUGAGAAAUAACAGAGACAAACUGGAAUGGAGAUGCCGAGAUGGUAUAGGUAUGACACGUGUAAAAAUUGUACACUUGCCAAUAUAUGUGAUGAAUGCAGAUAGAUAUGACAGAAACAAUGGCUGGGACACGAGUAACAGGCAGAAGUAGCAGGACUAUAUAGUUGUAAGAAAAAAUUAAAGGAAAAAAAGAGAGAGAAAACCAAGUGGCCUCUUUUUGACCACUUAAAUUUGACUGAAAAGACUAGCACUGAUGGCCCCUGCGGCAGCCAAGAACACCGGAAUUAGCAGUCAUUGCUCCGACCAUGGAAGAAGACUUGGCACCCAAGCUUGAAGCGCGAGC
rnacentral:lncRNA from 1 species